rnacentral:piRNA from 1 species
UCCAAAGAGUUACAUCCCAUGUUGUGUCCAGU